ACUUACGAUAAUGGCUGUGGUUUAGGGAACUUGGUGUAAGUCCAAGACUGACGCGCAACGGUAAUUAAGGUAUCCCCGUCAUUCUUCAAGCUACAUGGGUGUUGGCAUCGCUCAGCUACCCUAGUCACAUACUUCAGUAUGCUCCUAGGGAUAUCUUCGCUUGCCGCCUACAUGUCACUUGAAUUAUUUAGGGGAUAUAACAGGUCGAAUUUUCAUUUUAUAUAUCGUUUUUAUUUCAUAUAUAGAAACCCAACUUGUUACUUUAUAAGUCCGAUACCUGCCACGCUACCAAUCGCUUU
rnacentral:ncRNA from 1 species